UGUACUUCUUGCUGGUCUCGGAGCCCAGAGUGACGAACCUGAGCAGGAACAGAGACAGACUGGAGCACCAGAUCACCAGCUCCCAGUUGUAGUGACACUCCAGGAACGUUUCAUGGACGUGGAGCAACUGGAGGAAGAGAAUGAAGACCACAUUAAGCAAGUUGAAGUCUCACAACUAUAAAUCCAGCUUGACACACUCAGACAUUACCUGGGCACAGCAGAUGAAGACGACAGACAGAGUCCUCUCUGCUACGCUGAGCAGGAAGAAGAAGAGCCAUAUAAGGCAAACGCGCACCAGGAAGCUGAGUGUCACCAUGGUGAUCACUAAGGCAUCUGAUCCAGAACCGCCUCCCAGCGCCACCAACAGCAGCUCAU